rnacentral:rRNA from 1 species
GCUAGCGGCGAUAGUACGUUGAAUGCACCAAAUUCCGAUGGAUCAACGUUAAGCAACGUUGCGCAAGGUUGGUAUCCAAAAUGGGUCACCAUCUGAGUAAUCGCAAGCUGCUGGCU